GCUCAGGAUGAACGCUGGCGGCGUGCCUAAUACAUGCAAGUCGAACGAGGUGCUUUUGUAGCAAUACGAGAGUAUCCUAGUGGCGAACGGGUGAGUAACGCGUUGGUGACCUACCCCAAAGUGUGGGAUAACAGUCCGAAAGGAUUGCUAAUACCGCAUGUGGUUAUUGGAUUUAGAAACUGAUAACUAAAGGAGCAAUUCGCUUUGGGAGGGACCUGCGUCCCAUCAGCUAGUUGGUGAGGUAACGGCUCACCAAGGCUACGACGGGUAGGGGACCUGAGAGGGUGGCCCCCCACAAUGGAACUGAAACACGGUCCAUACACCUACGGGUGGCAGCAGUAGGGAAUAUUGCACAAUGGGCGAAAGCCUGAUGCAGCAACGCCGCGUGUGCGAUGAAGGCCUUCGGGUCGUAAAGCACUUUUCUGAGAGAUGAGAAAGGACAGUAUCUCAGGAAUAAGUCUCGGCUAACUACGUGCCAGCAGCCGCGGUAACACGUAGGAGGCGAGCGUUAUCCGGAUUCACUGGGCGUAAAGCGCGUGCAGGCGGUUUGGUAAGUUGAUCGUGAAAGCUCCCGGCUCAACUGGGAGAGGUCGGUCAAUACUACCAAACUAGAGAGUAGAAGAGGAAGAUGGAAUUCCCGGUGUAGUGGUGAAAUGCGUAGAUAUCGGGAGGAACACCAGUGGCGAAGGCGAUCUUCUGGUCUAUUUCUGACGCUCAGACGCGACAGCUAGGGUAGUAAACGGGAUUAGAGACCCCGGUAAUCCUAGCCGUAAACGAUGUGAACUUGGCGUCGGUGGCUUAAACACCAUCGGUGCCGAAGCAAACGCGAUAAGUUCACCGCCUGGGGACUACGGCCGCAAGGUUAAA
rnacentral:rRNA from 1 species